UCCCUUUUGACCGAAUUGCUUGGGAAGUGUACAAACUUUACCUGUACCCCUUGCUAUCAGUAUGACUUUGAAACCGUUUAAACGUCGUUCAGAAGGGCCACAGUGUUUGGCAGCACCGCGGCUUUGUCCAAAAUUGUACCCUCCAUGUGGAUGUUAGGGGCAUCGGGGCUGGAGCUUUCUUGUCCCAAGUUGAUGCAGCUGGGAUGGAUCAUCCAGUGGCAACAUUCUCAAGAAAGUUAAAUUCAUACCAGGUUAAACAUUCUGAGUUUGAAAGGGAAGCCUUGGCCCUUGUUUGGUCUUUCCAACAUUUUGAUGUGAAUUAAGUGGCAAAUCCCAAAUUGUAAACACUGAGCAUAAUCUGUGGGCCUUUUUUCUAGAGCCAUACUUCCUUGGCAUUCGUCAUAAAAACAGGAAAACAGAACCUGCCUGCUGAUGCCCUACCCCGAAGCCUCUGUCCCAUUAAAAGAAGAAAGUCAUGUAAAGUAAAUCUUUCUUUGGCCAUUAAAAGGGGUGGGUGUGAGCUGCUUCUGUUGGAGUGCAGCAGGUUAAUGUGGCGCAUUGGGCCAAAAUCGAUAUAUAGCUUGCCCAAAACCUGACACUCUCUCUCUCUCUUGCUGCAGGGCUGGCUCUAUAUGGUUGGUUCCAGUACCAUUUUGGGCACAGUAGACGGCGUGCCCACAGCACCUACCCACCUUCUCUCAACACGUUCAAGUGCCAAGCAGGAUGGUAACUUAUGACUGGACCAGACACACCAGAAAAACUCCUACUGAAGCUAAUUUAAUACAUUGUGGUUCAAGCACUCGCUGCCUGGAAUGUUACAUUCAAAUAUUGGACCUUUCAAUGUCCAUUUUAACAAUAUCCUAAAAUUAGAUUUAUAUAAUCUAUUUAUAAUGUGUAUUUUAUUAUGUUGUACUUCUUGCC
ensembl:lncRNA